rnacentral:rRNA from 1 species
CCUACGGGUGGCAGCAGUGAGGAAUAUUGGUCAAUGGACGAGAGUCUGAACCAGCCAAGUCGCGUGAGGGAUGACUGCCCUAUGGGUUGUAAACCUCUUUUAUCUGGGAAUAAAGUGUUCCACGUGUGGCAUUUUUUAUGUACCAUAUGAAUAAGGAUCGGCUAACUCCGUGCCAGCAGCCGCUGUAAUACGGAGGAUGCGAGCGGUAUCCGGAUUUAUUGGGUUUAAAGGGAGCGUAGGUGGAUUGGUAAGUUAGGUGUGAAAGUUUGGGGCUGAACCGCAAUCUUGCCGUUGAAACUGGCAGUCUUGAGUAGAGGAGAGGUAGGCGGAAUUCGUGGUGUAGCGGUGAAAUGCUUAGAUAUCACGCAGAACUCCGAUUGCGAAGGCAG